ACGCGUGGAACCUUACCAGGUCUUGACAUCCCAUUGACCGCUAUGGAGACAUAGCUUUCCCUUCGGGGACAGUGGUGACAGGUGGUGCAUGGUUGUCGUCAGCUCGUGUCGUGAGAUGUUGGGUUAAGUCCCGCAACGAGCGCAACCCUUGUUCUUAGUUGCCAUCAUUUAGUUGGGCACUCUAAGGAGACUGCCGGUGACAAACCGGAGGAAGGUGGGGAUGACGUCAAAUCAUCAUGCCCCUUAUGACCUGGGCUACACACGUGCUACAAUGGAUGGUACAAACGGUUGCCAACCCGCGAGGGGGAGCUAAUCCGAUAAAACCGUUCUCAGUUCGGAUUGUAGGCUGCAACUCGCCUACAUGAAGCCGGAAUCGCUAGUAAUCGCGGAUCAGCAUGCCGCGGUGAAUACGUUCCCGGGCCUUGCACUCACCGCCCGU
rnacentral:rRNA from 1 species